rnacentral:lncRNA from 1 species
ACAUAUUCAGAACAUGGCAGCUUCUAGAAUUGGUUCAAUCUUCUGCUCGAGUGGCAGUGGCCAAAGGCCUGGAGCCGACCAAGGAGAGGUUAUCUAGGUAAGAAUCAUCAGUGGCUGAUCAUCCCUCAAAGACAAACAACUAGACAAGAUGUGGCUCCUGAUGGAAGAACGCAGGCCACCACCUACAAAGCACCCUGGCUGCCUCCCUCCCCCAGGGAUGAAGCUGGGACUUACCAUGCACACCAGUUUGUUCUCCUGGGUCUCCUUCUCAAAGGAGACCUCUGCCACCUCAUCGCCUCCUGCGAUCCUCUCCCCAACAUCACCACUGAGUCGCAUCACCUCCACGUGCAGCCGACCUGCCACCUGCAGCAAUGAGGGAAGGCAGAAACAUUUCUCCAGAUUUGGAAACAAGGCAUGAAGAGAAAACCAACCUCUCCUUUCUGGUUGAUGAUGGGAACAGCGUAUUGUAACUUCACAUCAUAGAAAAGUGACUCGAGGAAGACAUUGGCCACCCCAAUGAGACUGUGAUUUUCCUGCUCAUCAUAGAAUGGAUCAGCACGUUUGAAGUAUGAUCGUAUUACCUGUAAAGAGAUUGAGAACACACAACUUCAGAAAAACCAUUUACAAUAAAUGCAUUCAACCUACUGCUUUUUGAUGCACUCUAGGUUAUUAAACUUAACUUUCAUCAUCCUAA